GAUGAACGCUGACAGAAUGCUUAACACAUCAGCAAUUGAUUGGUGGCGGACGGGUGAGUAACGCGUAAAGAACUUACCUCACAGUUAGGGACAACAUUUGGAAACGAAUGCUAAUACCUAAUACUGUGAGAGAGCUUUGCGUACCAUUAGCUAGUUGGCGAGGUAACGGCUCACCAAGGCGAUGAUGGGUAGCCGGCCUGAGAGGGUGAUCGGCCACAAGGGGAAUGGGACACGGCCCUUACUACUACGGGGGGCAGCAGUGGGGAAUAAUGGACAAUGGACCAAAGUCUGAUCCAGCAAUUCUGUGUGCAAGAUGAAGUUUUCAGAAUGUAAAGUGCUUUCAGUUGGGAAGCGGUACCAACAGAAGAAGUGACGGCUAAAUACGUGCCAGCCGCCGCGGUAAUUC
rnacentral:rRNA from 1 species